AUGGUGAGUACAAGAGGUGAGCUUUAAACUCAGUCGUCUGUCUAGAGGGCUCUAGUAUUCCGCUCUGUGUACUUUGACGGUAAGUAGAGAGACACCCAGACCUCCUUCUUCUUGGCCCCAAGUUCUUUUACCAGACUGGGUUUGGUGCCCCGAUUGUAUAAGAACGUAUUGCCUUUAGCAUCUCUUUCCCCUUGUGGCUGCUACCUCAGCAACCCCAUCGAGCAGGAAAGCAAACAUGUUCAAGAUUUCACUCAGCUUGGCCGUUCGAUCUCUCCGCCAUGUGUGGGCUGAACCUCUUUGGGACCAACGCUGGGCAGGGUCGCCAUGUCCCCGCUGAGACGGCCAGGUGGCUACAGUACUCGGUAGCCCUGCGUCCUGCCCUCUCCUACAGUUUCCAAUCUCAUUUGGCUCCUUGUGAAUUAUGUGACAUCUGAGCCUGUGAGACCAGGUGUUCCCGCCCCCUCAGGGGACCUGAAAGGCAGCCCUGGGGCAUGAGCCCUUCGUGGGGGGACCGUUAGACCAUUUCCGACAAGCACCUAACAAGACAUCUCCUGCAGCCGAGUCAGCCCUCCCUACUCCCGGGCAGUCACCGAAGCCAUGUGCCCUGGUGGGUUCUUAUAGAAGCAUCCACACCAGUCCAUCUGAGGACCCUAUGGGCCUGACCCCCACAUAGGAUUGAUGCAAAGUGGCAGGGAGUUGAAGACCCCAGGCAUAACCUUGAACUCAUGAACCCACAGAAGUUGGUAAAUUAAGGUCCUGGACACUUUGACCCUCGGGUGGGACAAGGCUAAGGUGUGUUGUCCACUUUCCACCCAUCUCAAGACCAACGGGGUUGAUCCAGCACUGUCCAUGGCAAUGACUUCAGUAAAACACCCCACGUUGGCUUGCUUCUCUUCUGUCUUACUUGCGCUCCUUAUCAGGGCUUGCUGGGAACAGCCCCUAGUACAUUCCUUGGACUCAGACCCUAGUCUCAGGGUGGACUUGGGAGGAACUGACCUUGGACACCCCCCAAGCCCCCUUCCCUGUAUCCCAAGUGCAGCCAGCAUACUGCUGGGCUCUCUCAGGGAAUGCCGUUGACAGAGUUGAGGGCAGUCGUCCCUGGGCCCCCGCUUAGACUUUUCCAUGCCAGAAACCUAUUGUUCCAGCCAGACGGCAUCCAUCAGGAGCUCCUGGAGGACACAGGAGGUAGGGAUCAGGGUGGGACACCAGAAAUGUCAGUGAAUUUCUAUUGCAAUGUGUCCACACUGAAAGAGGUUCCAACAGAAGGUCUCCUGUUCCAACUCUAAGCCAGAUGAGGCUCUUCAACAAAGAGGGUCCUCUAUCCACCCAGAGGGCAUCUGGAUUAUUGCAGAUUGACAAUGUUUCAGAUGAGAAAGAACAGUAAGAUGUUUCUUUUUCCUCCUUGAACUCCCUUCCUUCUCUAUCCCAGGUCGUAUGUUCCAUUAAGUCAUCUGGAUGAUUUCUGGGGAGGCACGGGACUCCAACGUCAUGCACCCCACUUCUGCUGGCCAACACUUGGGGACCGCCGGGUCCUGACCUCAGCACACUGGAUGGUGGAGUGGGUGACUGUGUGCGUCCGUUUCCUCCAGCGAACACGGCAUCCGGGAGCGAGAGCGUUCACUUUGUCAAAGGUUCAGAAAUAACAGAAGUAAAACCAGUGAAUCACCGUGGUAGCAAUCAGUAAAAGUUUAUCAUGCACACACCAAAAAGGAAGUUUGCAAACCGGGAGCACUCAAACCGGAAGGUAGCGUGAGGCUCGGGGGUGGAUUCUUAUAAAGCAGCUCAUAUGGUGAGAAGGCAGUGGCUGUGUGUUCUUCCAGGGUUUGGUCCUAACGCUAGAAUUUUCUUAAGUCAUAGGGAAUUGGUCAGUGGUUACCUCAUACCAACCUUGGGAAACAGUUCAAGUUUUGCUUGUGACUUCCAGAGGCGCAAGCAAAGGACUGACCCAGGUCCAGUCAGUCUUGCAAAAUAAUCUAAAUUAAGCUUUGUUUGUAUGACCAAAGUGGUUUCCUCUGCUCAGGGCAUUUUCACGGCUGUGUUUUUUAUUCAACGGCCUCCUCCCUCAUGGAUCAGAGGUGGGCACGUGACGCCCUGAGACCCAGGGCGGCCUCUCCCAGAACCCCUGGGAAACAGCUCUUCAGGCUCCUCCAUGGAUCCCCAGGGCCUGGGCCGCCAUAUUGGUACGCUUGGCCAAGGACCUGGGAAUGGAUCUCCAGGGGAGGCAGAACCACAGGGAGUCCUUGUGCUGUGAGCAAUGGAACCUGCCUGUUCUCCUCCUCCUUUGCAACAAUGGAGCCUUUCCUUUCCUGUCCUUGCUUACUCCAGUUUUGACCAAGGUUUCCAUCACAUGUGGCAAAGAAUCCUAAGUGAUCACGUGGAAGGGAGAAGUCUUCUUAACCUGUGUUUGUACCAGGACCAGAGAUCCUUCUCCACAGUCGCCGUGGCCCGGUGUUGUCUAUGAGGCCAAAGCGUGUCGCCGCUGGGUGCCCCUCAGCAUGUGUGUAGAAUAUUGGAAGUCCUCCUGGGCUGUGGGAGCGCAUUGGCUCCUCAGAAGGGGACGACAGAACUUACCGGAAUUUGUCCUUGAGAUGCCCAAGGGUCUGAGUCGGACAUGCUGAGGUUUUAUCCCCAAAGUUAAGAUUUCAUUCGCAAAUAAGUUUAUACAAAAGCACUAGGGGACGGUACACUUUAAAUCCAAGCACAAAAUAUAUCCAGUUUAGUAAACUGGGACCCAUAUUUUGAAAAGAAGGAGAAAAUAUUCCACUGGAAACAAAGGAAUUCAAAUAUACAAAGUGAUGUUUACCCACCAGUUGAUUUUGAAAGGUUAGAGACGUGGCCUUUUUUACAUGGAAAUAUACUCUUACCACAUCAUUUAAAAAAUUCCUUAGCCUCUCUUCAGCCUUUUAUUAUGAAAUAUUCAACCUACAGAAAAGUUGCAAAAAUAAUCGGAUGAAUGUCUACGUAUCCUUCACCUAGAUUAACCAAUUGCUAAUGUUUUUCCGUACUUGUUCCAGAUCCAUCGGUAUGUGACACACACAUGCCUAUGUCCGCAGGCAAAAAUUACACACACACACACACACACACACAUUCACACACACGCUCUCGCACAUACGCUCACAUAAGUACUUUUUCUGAUGGACAAUCUGAGAGUUAAUUGCAGACAUCAUGACACCUCACCACCGAAUACUUUAGCAUCUGUCUCCUAAAAAAAAAAAUCAAUUAAUUGCCACACUCAGGAAAGUUAACACUGAAAUAAUGCCGUUACCUAAAUAGAUGGUCCGUAGUCACAUUUUUCUGUUUGUGCUGAUAAUGUCCUUCGGGGCUGGGGUUUGCUGCUGUUGCUUUUUGUUCUUGUAUUUUUCUAAAUCUGGGAUCCAACCAAAUAUCAUGCAUUCAUUUAUUAAUAUUUUACUUUUGAAUGUUAUUCUACAGCCUUUUCUCUUGUUUUUAAUAAAGGAACUUGGGUUAUAGUAAAACCAGUAUUUAUUCCAUCGAUUACUUACUUUCUAUCAAUUUCCAUUCAUCUCAUUAGUUCUUUAUCGAGAAAAGUGCCUGGAAACCACACCCACACAGGUUCGAGAAUUUGUAUAAUUUUUUUAACGUAAAAGAACCUGUUGAUUUUACACUUAGGAACACCAUUCAUCCGGUUGUGUUACGCAUUAUUGCAGGCAGAUCAUCAGAGCCACAGAAAGAGGCUCGGUGGCAGAGGGCGUAAGGCUACUGAUGACCUAAGACAGAGGCAACACCGGAGAGAAAGAGGAGGAGGAGGAGGAAGAAGAUUGUAGGGCUUGUGAGUCAUGCCAACUGAACACAAGUUGUAUCCAAAGGCGGACACGUUUGUGGUAUUACGCGUUUGCAGAAGGACAAAAGCAUAUCCAUAUAAUAUCUCGGUGGAAGCCACCUCCUCCACGGUCAUCACCCUGACCGCCUUCCCCCCAGACCGCCACAUCCUGAAACCACGACGCGGGGGGUCACCUCCCUGCCUGCCCUGUCAGGCUGCCUAGCUUGAGCGUGAUGCUGUCCACGGAAUAUCCUGCAAUGACAGGGGCGUCCUAGCCACACACAUCCGGUACCUGUGGCCACGAAUGAGCGGGCAGAGUACGCUCCCGGUGGAGAAACAAGAAUGGCUCCUGGAACGCUUUGGGGCUGAGUGCUUCACGGGAGGUGACUCAUGGAAGCGUGCUUACUGGGCCCAUUUUCAGUCGACGAAACCGAGGCCCAGAGCAUCAUGGUUGUGGCUGAACUCCAACUCAGUGGUGCGGCCUCGUUCCAGAGGGUGUGACCUGCCUUUAGAAGGAGCGUCCCGCUUGUCACUCAUUCAGCCUGGGGUCCGUCCUUGCGAGCCCUUCAUGGAGCGUGAUGGAAGUGACUGGUCAGGGGGACCGCUGUCCGCAGCGCCACAGCUCCAGGAAAAGUGGCUGAUGAGCCACACGGCUGACACACAGAGAAGGAGACAUUUUUAUUUAAAGAUACUUUCAGGGUCUUUCAAAGGCCUCUCACUGUUUGCUUCCAGGCUGGAGACUCUGAAGGGUGAGUCAUUCUAGCUGUUCUGGGGUUUAUCACUUCAAGGUCAGAGGCUGCAGGAGUCUCUCGUUUAGAUAUGCAUCAUGAGUUUUAAGUGCCCAGGCUGGGGAAUUAAUUUCGGUCGCCAAUGUCACCCCAGAAUAUUGUGCUUCCAGUGACUGCCACCCAGGCGUCCCUCCUGCGCUCAGCGGAGCCAUGCGGGCGGCCGGGGCUCCACCUGCCAAGGGGGGAUGAGAAAGAGAGCAAGAAGCUGACUCCUUACAAAUGAGCGAAGCAGGUGGGGGCA
rnacentral:lncRNA from 1 species